rnacentral:lncRNA from 1 species
CGUUGAUUGAUUGGAAAUUGGUACUUAAUUAAGGAAGUGAGAGAAUAUGCGGGCAUCGUUAAAAUGAAAGGAUUGACCACAGACGCAUCUUUAUUUCUUCCAAUGUACUGUCUGUGGCGUGUAUCAUGACUCAGGAAAGGCCUUCACUCCAACGCUACCGCUGGGCAGGUCCACUUGCCCUUCAGCCAACGUGUAUCGCAACUCGGAAGGCCCUGCUUUGAAGCCUAUGAGGAAGGUGGAGAGUCAAAGAGAGCAGAGGUCAGGGC